rnacentral:piRNA from 1 species
UAUCGGAAAUAAUGCCACAUGUAAAAGU